UUUUUCCUUGCAUUGCUGUUAUUUUCCAUUUCCCACACCUGGGGUUCUCAUGUUACCUCCAAUUAUAGCAAAAGUUUGCUAAGAUGGGUGAAGUGCUUCUUGCAGGCACAUCCUGGAGGUUUUCUUUUCACGAAGUUUGCCAGUAGUAGCCAGACUCUUUUUGACCUUUUCCCGGAUAGCUUUGGUAGCAGGUUGCAUGAAAGAAGCAAAGAAAGUCCGAAAACAAUGAAACAUCUAAAUAAACUUUUCCCAAACAAAAUUUUGAUCUAGCUUCCACAGGAUGAAGCCCUACUUACAGAUUGGAAGCAGCAGUUGGAAG